UUUAAGGUGGUUAUAGCGACGGGGCUCACCUCUUACCAUUCCGAACAGAGAAGUUAAGCCCGUUAGCGCCGAUGGUACUGCACUUGUGGAAGAGUAGGUCGCCGCCUUUU
rnacentral:rRNA from 1 species